rnacentral:rRNA from 1 species
AUGCACGCUGGCGGCGUGCCUAAUACAUGCAAGUCGAGCGAACAGACGAGGAGCUUGCUCCUCUGACGUUAGCGGCGGACAGGUGAGUAACACGUGGAUAACCUACCUAUAAGACUGGGAUAACUUCGGGAAACCGGAGCUAAUACCGGAUAAUAUAUUGAACCGCAUGGUUCAAUAGUGAAAGACGGUUUUGCUGUCACUUAUAGAUGGAUCCGCGCCGCAUUAGCUAGUUGGUAAGGUAACGGCUUACCAAGGCAACGAUGCGUAGCCGACCUGAGAGGGUGAUCGGCCACACUGGAACUGAGACACGGUCCAGACUCCUACGGGAGGCAGCAGUAGGGAAUCUUCCGCAAUGGGCGAAAGCCUGACGGAGCAACGCCGCGUGAGUGAUGAAGGUCUUCGGAUCGUAAAACUCUGUUAUUAGGGAAGAACAAAUGUGUAAGUAACUAUGCACGUCUUGACGGUACCUAAUCAGAAAGCCACGGCUAACUACGU